GUGGGGAAUAUUGGACAAUGGGCGAAAGCCUGAUCCAGCCAUGCCGCGUGUGUGAAGAAGGUCUUCGGAUUGUAAAGCACUUUAAGUUGGGAGGAAGGGCAGUAAGUUAAUACCUUGCUGUUUUGACGUUACCGACAGAAUAAGCACCGGCUAACUUCGUGCCAGCAGCCGCGGUAAUACGAAGGGUGCAAGCGUUAAUCGGAAUUACUGGGCGUAAAGCGCGUGUAGGUGGUUCAGCAAGUUGGAGGUGAAAUCCCCGGGCUCAACCUGGGAUCUGCCUCCAAAACUACUGGGCUAGAGUACGGUAGAGGGUAGUGGAAUUUCCUGUGUAGCGGUGAAAUGCGUAGAUAUAGGAAGGAACACCAGUGGCGAAGGCGACUACCUGGACUGAUACUGACACUGAGGUGCGAAAGCGUGGGGAGCAAACAGGAUUAGAUACCCGAGUAGUCC
rnacentral:rRNA from 1 species